GAGUUCUGAUUAUUGAAAGGUGCUUGCAUCUUGAUUUAAUUUUGAACGAGUGGCGGACGGGUGAGUAACACGUGGGUAACCUGCCCUUAAGUGGGGGAUAACAUUUGGAAACAGAUGCUAAUACCGCAUAAAUCCAAGAACCGCAUGGUUCUUGGCUGAAAGAUGGCGUAAGCUAUCGCUUUUGGAUGGACCCGCGGCGUAUUAGCUAGUUGGUGAGGUAACGGCUCACCAAGGCAAUGAUACGUAGCCGAACUGAGAGGUUGAUCGGCCACAUUGGGACUGAGACACGGCCCAAACUCCUACGGGAGGCAGCAGUAGGGAAUCUUCCACAAUGGACGCAAGUCUGAUGGAGCAACGCCGCGUGAGUGAAGAAGGCUUUCGGGUCGUAAAACUCUGUUGUUGGAGAAGAAUGGUCGGCAGAGUAACUGUUGUCGGCGUGACGGUAUCCAACCAGAAAGCCACGGCUAACUACGUGCCAGCAGCCCGCGGUNAUUACAA
rnacentral:rRNA from 2 species